AAAAUUUAAUGCCAUAAAUGAUAUUUUUUGUAAAACUAUAAAUUGUUUAAUCUUUUCAUUAGUGUUUUAUGGAAAUUUAACAAAAAAGACUUGACAUAUCCACACAUCUCUGAAAUUACAUAAAUCAAAACCAUAUAAGUCAGAGACCUAUUGUACUAGCAUGUCAUAUUGGCCAGAUGAUUGCAUGGUAAAACAGAUGCUUACUUUUUGGAUAUCUAAAUUCCGUUCAUCCAGAAUUGAAUAUGGAUCCAUAUAUUGGGUAUCACAUGUUUAUUUUUUUCAAGCAUUUAGGCCCAGCUCACUGAUUUUCAUCCUUCAAAUUCCGAUUGAUCCCACUGUGGAUGUUGGCCAGCCAAUGAUGGGUUUUAGAAGUGAUUGCUAUCAGGUACAGUACAUCCAUGUAUAAUGUGAUGGGUUAACUAAGACUAAUUAACUAAUGUAUCACAAAGAUAUAACAAUAAAAAUAGUUCUAUUAAAGAAUAAGCACAUCAAACACAUAAACAUAUGAUAAAUAAUGAAAUUAGAAAAAAAAAAACUAUAAACCAUAUAGGUACAAUAAUAACAACUGCUAUCAUAUUUAGCUAC
rnacentral:lncRNA from 1 species